UCCACUGAACUAACAAGAUCAGACAAUCGCCCAGGCUGCCUAAAUAUUCAGAAUUAGAUUAAACCCAACAUUUUCCUGAAGACAUAUCUUUUGUAUUUUCUACUACAGGUUUCACUUGAGUUUCUGGAAAACAUAACUGGCAGGAUCAAUUCAAGCACAACUGGGUCUCGCUGCAAAGAGUUACAACUGGGUCUCCAGCUGAAAAGCCCAAGAUACAGCCUGAGACCUCCUCUAUGCAGUGUUAGCUUGGGGAAUUCAGUGCUAUGAGGAUGGGGAGUAAAAUGGGCAACAUGUAGACAGGGCUCAGGUGAUGAGGACCACAGAGUGCUGUCUGCCCAGAGUGCCUUGUUCUUCACACUGUAGCACUACAGCCUGAGCAGGAGAAUGGACAACAAUCAAAGUCAGCCUGCUCCUUUUUAUUUAGGCUUGGCAGGGGAGGGACGUAGAGGGAGUAUGAAGUUCAUGGCACCUACUGGCAUGGGAAAGAGUAAGCAAAGUAAAUGCUUCUCAAGCUUCUCAUGCUUUCCGUUCUGCCUUCAAAUGGAGAAAGGAUCUUCAGGAGACCUCCCAACUUGAUGCUUCCUUACAUGCUUGUGCAGGUUGGACCAGUGUUUAAGAAAGAAGGGACUCCAGUAGCCACUGAAGUCAGUUUGGAAGUGAGGACAUGCAGAAUAGCAGAGGAGAUGCACAGCAAUGUGCAUGAUCAGAUUCAUGGACCAAAAAUGGGGAAGAGCUGCCACUGUUUUACACAGAAGGAUUUAUCUGUGGAUACAACAACCAAUCGGAACAGGACAGUUAGAAACAAGGGGAGAUUAGAACUAUUACAACAAAACCAACACAAAAAAUAUACAAUCUUACUUUUACACUAAGCAAAUC